rnacentral:rRNA from 1 species
UACGGGGGGGGCAAGCGUUGUUCGGAAUUACUGGGCGUAAAGGGCUCGUAGGUGGCCAACUAAGUCAGACGUGAAAUCCCUCGGCUUAACCGGGGAACUGCGUCCGAUACUGGAUGGCUUGAGUGUGGGAGAGGGAUGCGGAAUUCCAGGUGUAGCGGUGAAAUGCGUAGAUAUCUGGAGGAACACCGGUGGCGAAGGCGGCAUCCUGGACUACUACUGACGCUGAGGGAGCGAAAGCCAGGGGAGCAAACGGG